GGGAGGGGCAGAAGCUGAUUUGUUUCAGUGGAUCUGCUGAUUUGGCCGCCUACAUCAACAUUCAGGUGCCUUUGUUCCCUGUUUUAAUCAUUUUAUGCUGCUUGUUCUUGAUAAGUAACAUGUCCUUUAGCAAGCAUUUAUCUGGUAGUAACAAAGGGAAGAUAAAAAAGAAAAAAGAUGAAGAGGUAAAAUCUCUAAAAGGAUCACUUAACAGAUAUUUCAAACCUGGUAGUUUUUCUAGAGAUCCCCUGGAACUGGCCAUAGUAUGUGUUGAAGAACAACCAACUGAGAAUACAAAUGCUACCGAUGAUGAUAUGGAUAUGGGUAAUGGUAAUUCCAGCGAGCAUGAAAAUGUAGCUCGUUCAUCAAAUUAUGAAUCACCGAGUGUCGAUAAACAACAACCAUUCAGUGUUGAUAUUUUUGACCCACGAAACUGGGAUAAUCUGGAUGAUAAGGCAAGAGAUAUUUUAGUUGAGAAGGGCCCUGUAAGGAAUGAUGAUAUUGUGUUCCCUCCAGAUAGUAAUUCUAUACAUUUUUCACUAUCUUAUUAUUCCACAAAGUUGAGGAAUGGAGAGGUACAUGCCAGGAAAUGGUUGGUUUACUCUGAACAUGCUAACAAAGUGUAUUGUUUUUGUUGCAAGCUUUUCAAAUCCCAUAUCAACAAGAGUGCGUUAGCUGGUAAUGGGUUGAGUGACUGGAAGCAUCUUAGUGAGAGGCUUAAAGAACACGAAAAUGGUGUAGAACACAUUAAAACCAUGAACACUUGAAAUGAGUUAAAAGUUAGACUGGCCAAAAAUAAAACCAUUGAUAAGGAUUUGCAGCAGAAGAUUAAUAAGGAGAAAGAACGUUUGAGACAAGUGUUAAUGAGAUUAGUAGCAAUUGUUAAAUAUCUUGGUAAACGUAACUUGGCUUUCCGUGGAUCUAAUGAGAAACUUUAUCAACACAGCAAUGGUAAUUUUUUGGCAUGUGUAGAGAUGAUUGCUGAAUUUGAUCCAAUAAUGCAAGAACAUCUUAGAAGAAUUCAGAAUGAUGAAAUUUAUCAUCACUAUCUCAGCCACAAAAUUCAGAAUGAGUUGAUUUCUCUAUUGGCCUCUAGUGUUACUGGUUCUAUCUUACAAAUUAUUAAAGAAGCUAAAUAUUUCUCCAUAAUUCUUGAUUGUACUCCAAAUGUUAGCCAUCAAGAACAAAUGACCCUAAUUAUUCGAUGUGUUAACAUGUCAAAUAGAAAAAUAAAAAUAGAAGAAUUUUUAUGGAAUUUUUGAGAGUGGAUGACACUUCUGGUUUGGGUUUUUUAAUGCACUUCUUGAUGCAAUUGAGUCUUAUGGCUUAAAUAUUGAUAAUGUAAGGGGCCAAGGGUACAAUAAUGGUUCCAACAUGAAAGGAAACAAACAAGGGGUACAAAGUCGUUUACUUGAAAAAAUCCAAGAGCUUUAUAUAUGCCAUGUGUGUGUCAUCGCCUCAAUCUUACUUUGUGUGAUAUAGCAAGUUCUUGUAGUAAAGUUAUAUCCUUCUUUGGAAUUGCGCAAUGGAUUUAUGUUUUAUUUUCAAGUUCCACUAAAAUAUGGAAAGUUUUACUUGAUCAUAUUCCUAGUUUAACCGUAAAAGGUUUGUCUAAUACUCGGUGGGAGAGUCGAAUCAAAAGUGUAAAGGCUAUUAGAUAUCAAGCUCCACAAUUAAGGAUCACUUUGUCCGAGUUAUGUAAAAUUUGUGAUGAUGCCAAGUCAAAGAGCGAUGCAAAAAAAUUAUUUGACGCGCUUGGUAGUUUUGAGUUUUUACUUGGCAUGGUUAUUUGGCAUGAUAUAUUAUUUGCUGUAAACAUGGUGAGCAAGAAGUUGCAGUCUGCAUCUAUGUGUGUUGACUCUACCUUGCAGCAAAUUGAAGGCGUAAUGUAGUUUUUUGAUAAGUAUAGAGAGGAAGGAUUUGCAUCUUGUUUAACUAUCACCAAAGGUCUUGCAAUUGAUAUGGGCAUAGAACCAUCAUUUCCAAUAAAACCUAAUGUUACUAGGAAGAAACAAUUUGUUGAACCUGAUAACGAUGAAGAAGUUCUAAAAGCUGAGAAGGCGUUCGAAGUUAAUUACUUUUUAGUUAUGGUUGAUAUUGCAAAGGUCUCUAAGAACUAGAUUCAAAGAACUCCAAGUUUUCAAAAGUAUAUUUGGCUUCUUACUUAGCUCAAAAGACAUGAAGUUAUUGGAUGAUGUCGAACUACACAAAUAUUGUGCUAAGUUUGUAGAAACAUUUUCACGAAAUGGUUCAUGCGAUGUUGAGUUAGAUGAUCUUUUUUCUGAAAUUAGACUGCUGCAAAUGACUUUACCAUAAUCAGAUUUGCCAUUGCAUGCUAUGGAGAUUUUUUGAGUUUGUUAGAGAUACUGACUGUUUUCCAAAUGUUUUAAUUGCUUAUCGAAUUUUGUUCACUGUACCAAUGACCGUAGCAUCAGCGGAGCGUAGUUUUUGCAAGUUGAAAUUGUUAAAUAACUACUUGAGGUCAACAAUGUCACAAGAAAUAUUAAAUGUUCUUGCUACUUUAUGUAUUGAGAAAGAUAAGUUGGAUGAAAUAAAUUUUGAUGCAAUAAUUGAUGACUUUGUUUCAAGAAGUGUUAGAAGAAUUUCCAAGUUCUAGUAUAGACAUGAAAUUCUCAGUUAGCUUUACUAUGCCUUGAGAAGGAAUGUUUGGAAGAAUUGAGGUACUAUGCUGUGAAGAAUUUUGGAGUGAAGAACAUGGCCGAUUGGCGAGGAUCGAGAAACAAAUGUAAGUUCAUGCCUAACUUUUUAUUUGAUGGUAACACAAAAGAUUUAAGUAGCAACCAGUUUUAACAGGAAUUUUUAUUUUGCAGAACAAAAUGACAGUCUCCAUUCAAAUUUAGGAAUGCAAGAUUUUGUGAAAAGAGAGCUUUUGUCAAACUUCAUCUCCUUACUAUCAUGAUGUAGUUCACUUGAUCGACAAAUAAAUUGUACUGUCAAUUUUAGAGUCCAAAUUACGAUCAUCAGACUACGCUAUGUAUUGGAUAUUACUUUGUUUUUUAAAUAUACAAUAUUUUGAACUUCUGAGUAAACAAGGGCCCCUUAUUUUUGUCUUGCCCCAG
rnacentral:lncRNA from 1 species